UACGGAGGGUGCAAGCGUUAAUCGGAAUUACUGGGCGUAAAGCGUGCGCAGGCGGUUUGUUAAGUCUGUUGUGAAAUCCCCGAGCUCAACUUGGGAAUUGCAAUGGAUACUGGCAGGCUGGAGUAUGGUAGAGGAAGGUGGAAUUCCCGGUGUAGCAGUGAAAUGCGUAGAGAUCGGGAGGAACACCAGUGGCGAAGGCGGCCUUCUGGACCAACACUGACGCUGGGGCGCGAAAGCUAGGGGAGCAAACGGG
rnacentral:rRNA from 1 species